rnacentral:rRNA from 1 species
GUAGGGAAUCUUCCACAAUGGACGAAAGUCUGAUGGAGCAACGCCGCGUGAGUGAAGAAGGUCUUCGGAUCGUAAAACUCUGUUGUUAGAGAAGAACGUGCAUGAUAGUAACUGAUCAUGUAAUGACGGUAUCUAACCAGAAAGCCACGGCUAACUACGUGCCAGCAGCCGCGGUAAUACGUAGGUGGCAAGCGUUGUCCAGAUUUAUUGGGCGUAAAGGGAACGCAGGCGGUUUUUUAAGUCUGAUGUGAAAGCCUUCGGCUUAACCGAAGAAUAGCAUUGGAAACUGGAAGACUUGAGUGGAGAAGAGGAGAGUGGAAUUCCAUGUGUAGCGGUGAAAUGCGUAGAUAUAUGGAGGAACACCAGUGGCGAAAGCGGCUCUCUGGUCUGUAACUGACGCUGAGGUUCGAAAGCGUGGGUAGCAAACAGGAUUAGAAACCCUUGUAGUCC